AUACCUUUCUCGGCCUUUUGGCUAAGAUCAAGUGUAGUAUCUGUUCUUAUCAGUUUAAUAUCUGAUAUCUGAUACGUGGGCCACAGGCCCACAUGAUAUUAAAUUUAUUUUUCUAGGGGGAGGGUCCACCCAAGUAGCUUGCUAUUGGGACUCUCAAGCUUCGGCCAUGCGGUGCACUGCCGCACAGGCCUGGCGCGCCCCAC